GGCGAUGUUUCAUUCAAAUUUCUGCCCUAUCAACUUUCGACGGUAGGGUAGUGGCCUACCGUGGUGGUAACGGGUAACGGAGGAUUAGGGUUCGAUUCCGGAGAGGGAGCCUGAGAAACGGCUACCACAUCCAAGGAAGGCAGCAGGCGCGCAAAUUACCCAAAUCCCAACUCGGGGAGGUAGUGACAAGAAAUAACGAUGCUCCGGCCAUCGGUCGGGUAAUCGGAAUGAGGACAAUUUAAAUCCCUUAUCGAGGAUCAAUUGGAGGGCAAGUCUGGUGCCAGCAGCCGCGGUAAUUCCAGCUCCAAUAGCGUAUAUUUAAGUUGCUGCGGUUAAAAAGCUCGUAGUCGGAUUUCGGGUGGUGCCUACCGGUCCGCCUUUGGUGUGUACUGGUAGGCGCCACCUUUCUGCCGAGGACGGGUUCCUGGGCUUAACUGUCUGGGGCCCGGAGUCGGCGACGUCACUUUGAGUAAAUUAGGGUGUUUAAAGCAGGCUUAUGCUCUGUAUACACUAGCAUGGGAUGACACGAUAGGACUUCGGUCUAUCUUGUCGGUCUGUAGAUCGGAGUAAUGAUUAAGAGGGACAGUCGGGGGCAUUCGUAUUUCGUAGUCAGAGGUGAAAUUCUUGGAUUUACGGAAGACGAACUUCUGCGAAAGCAUUUGCCAAGGAUGUUUUCAUUGAUCAAGAACGAAAGUCGGGGGCUCGAAGACGAUUAGAUACCGUCGUAGUCUCGACCAUAAACGAUGCC
rnacentral:rRNA from 1 species